ACUAUCGUGAAAACACGAAAUUUCCCUUUUCCUCCUUACAUCUUCUCACCCAUUCACCACCUCUUUCAAUCGCAAAUCACCAAUUCUAUUCUAUAGGUUUCUCUGCUUCAACAUGUGAAUCACGAUUCAGCUUCAUCUUCAUCGGGUGAGUCACUACUUUCUUUUUAUGAGUUUAGUCUUUGAACAGUCAAACCCUACUCCCAAAUAUCUAAUCUGACAUUCGGCUUCCAAUUGCAAUAGAACCAGACCAUGACGAACCCUAAUCUCACGAUUCAACUUCCAAAUAGCAGUAGAACCAACCCAUGACGAACCCUAAUUUCAUGAUUCAACUUCCAAAAUAACAGUAGAUCGAGACCACGACGGACACUAUUCUCACGAUUCAGCUUCCAAUCGUAGAAAAACGUGACUAUGACGAACCCUAAUAUAGUGUUUCAGCUUCAUAUUUCGCAGAUGCAUUAAAAAAAAAAAACCUUCAUAUCGCAGACUCAUGUUAUUCUCUCAAUUCCGGCUCUCUCAGCUUUCUUCUGAUUAUGAAUAUUUGUCAUGAUUAUUAUCAUCGAAGUUGGAUAAGGCUAAUUCACCAACACUGUUGCUUUCACUGUUUCUACUACCAUUAGGCUACAGUUGAGGCGAUUGAGUUGGCACACAUAGAUUGGGACAACCUCAAGUUUGAUUUUCAACCUACUGAUUAUAUUUAUUUCAUGAAAUGUGAUCAAGGUGGAACCUUGUCUAAGGGUGAACUAAAGUAUUUUGGGAACAUUGAAUGGAAUCCUUAUAAAAUUCUUAGAGAUGAGACCACGAGAGGCGGUGUGGUGAGAACCCUUCGUCGAGACUGAGAUCGUCAUUGAGACUGAGAAUGAUAUCAAGUUGUGAUUUCACAAACGCUUCUGAUUCCCCUACCAUUGUGAACACUUCUCAGCUCCGUCGAGAUUGUGAGCAUCGUCAAGGACUCUCCACUGCGGAUUCGAAUUUGCAACAGCCUUGCAACAACGUCACUAAUCGUUCUGCUCUGAUUGCCUUAGAUGAUUUGAGACGACCACGCUUGCAACAACUCAGUUUCGCAUGUGACUCUUCUAUAUUCAAAGGUUCUUUGAUGGCACUAAUUGGUUCUAUGAUGUCAAUGCUAAUUAGGCAUAUAUCCUUGUGCAUGUUACUCAAGCUAGAGUGGAAAAUUAUCAAAAAAUACAGUUUUCUUUUUGGAGGUGCACAUGCCAGGAAUGUUUGAUUGUUUUGGUUGGGCACUUGGGAUGCUUUUUUAUUGUGGAAGAGCAUGGGCUUGUGAGGUUACAAUUUAGCUAUUGUACUAAUGUUGAUAAAGAAAGUAUGAUCAAUUUAAGAUUGCCAUUAUAUAUGUAUUUUGUUGUUAAGAGUUAUUUUGUAACUAAUACUUGGUGGUGUACUGAUAUAUACUAUUACUUGAAUAUAUAUUAUGAAGUGGACCCUAUAUGUUUUGAAAAUAUAUUUACUUGUUUGCAUCACCAUCUCAUUUGGUGGAUUGGGAACCAUUUCUAAGAUAAAGAAAGUGUGUAAGGUUAUACUAAAUUUUACUAUGAUUCUUCAUAUCAAGGUCUGAAAUUUUACUUUGGAUGAUAGGUCUGAAAAAUUGUAUCCGACUCCAUGGGGAGGCCACAACUGACAUUUUUUAAAAUAAAUAAAAAUAAAAAAUGUGUUAGGCAACGAUUAAAACGUGUUGCUAAAUAUUUUAAAAUGUUGCCUAUAAGCUCAGGGGACGCUUUAUAAAUGUAUUCAGUGUAUUAGUUAUAGGUAACGAUCACAACUUGUUGCCAAAUACUGCAACAGUUAAAAAGCGUCCCCUCAGGUGUGCUGGGCAAAACGUCCCCUAUUCCUAUAGUUUAGGCAACGCUUAUGAAUAGUGUGCCCAAAGAGCAAGACAAAACGUCCCCAUAGACAAAAGGCAACGCUCGAAUACAAGACACUUGAAAAACGUCCCCUAUUCUUUUAGGCAACGAUUUUCAUGGUUCUGGCAACAAUUUCCAGAUGUUGCCAGAGACCAUAUUUGUUGU